rnacentral:lncRNA from 1 species
AAUAGAUGCAUUGUAUAGAAUGAGAAUACCAAUUUAUGGACAACUUUGACCUUUUCAUGUCUUUUUUUUUUUUUUUUUUUUUGACUUUGUCCUGGCAUCCUCUUCAAAGGACAUAGAAUAAAACAUGAAUACAUUUAUUUAUUAUUAAUAUUAUUAUUUAUUAUUUUUUCAGAAAUGUUUUUCUUCAUUUGUUUCUCAUGCUUUAAGCCAGGGGUCACCAAACUCAGUCCUGGAGGGCUGGUGUCCUGCAGAUUGUAACUCCAGCCCUAAUCAAACACACCUGAACCAGAUAAUCAAGGUCUUAAUAGGUAUACUUGCAACAUCUAGACAGGUGUGUGUGUUGGGGCAAAUUGGAGCUAAACUCUGCAGGACACCAGCCCUCCAAGACCAAGUUUGGUGACCCCUGCUCUAGCCCAGUGGUUCCCAGCACUGCACAUUUUGCUUCUCUCCUUUGUCUUGACACAACCAUUUCAGGUCUUGCAGUUUCUACUUAUAAGCUGAGGAUCUGAAUCAGGUUAGUUUGAUUAAGGAGACAUGGAAAACUUAUUAUUUAAAUGAAUAAUAUCAUAUCCAGUUUGCUUUGCUGCCAAUGUAGCUCUGUUGCACCUGUGUUAAGGCUUCUUAUCACAACACCAGUUCGUCUUCCUGGAGAAUGUGUGCUUGUAAUGCAUUGGUCAAGCAUUCGUGUUUAAGUUUUCUUACUUGGGUCGAGUAUAUAUCUGGCCUUAGAGUUAAAGGUGCAUCACCUCUGAUGCCGAAUAUGAGGAAUAUAAGAGAAAAAAAAGAAAAAAAAACAUUGAACAACUGA